rnacentral:rRNA from 1 species
AGUGGAUGGGGAGCAACCUAGUUGUGCGUGUGUAAAGGUAGUGCCAAGAAAAGCGGUGAUCAUGAUGAAAAUCAAUUCCCGGUACCCGAAACCGACACAGGUGGGCAAGUAGAGAAUACUAAGGGGCGCGAGGUAACUCUCUCCAAGGAACUCGGCAAAAUGACCCCGUAACUUAGGGAGAAGGGGUGCCACCGAGAGGUGGUCGCAGUGAAGAGGCCCAGGCGACUGUUUAGCAAAAACAUAGGUCUCUGCAAACUCGAAAGAGGAGGUAUAGGGGCUGACGCCUGCCCAGUGCCGGAAGGUUAAAGAAGUUGGUCAGUCUUAGGAUGAAGCUAGCGACUGAAGCCCCGGUGAACGGCGGCCGUAACUAUAACGGUCCUAAGGUAGCGAAAUUCCUUGUCGGGUAAGUUCCGACCCGCACGAAAGGCGUAACGAUCUGGGCGCUGUCUCGGAGAGAGGCUCGGCGAAAUAGGAUUGUCUGUGAAGAUACGGACUACCUGCAUUUGGACAGAAAGACCCUCAAGCUUUACUAUAGCUUGGAAUUGUGUUCGGGCUUCCUGUGCGCAGGAUAGGUGGGAGGCGAAGAAGGUAUUCUUGUGGGGAUACUGGAGCCAACGGUGAGAUACCACUCUCAGGAGGCUAGAAUUCUAACUUAAUUAAGGACAGUUUCAGGUGGGUAGUUUGACUGGGGCGGUCGCCUCCAAAAAGGUAACGGAGGCGUACAAGGGUUCCCUCAGACUGGUUGGAAAUCAGUCGCAGAGUGCAAAGGCAGAAGGGAGCUUGACUGCGAGAAGUACAGUUCGAGCAGGGUGGAAACACGGUCUUAGUGAUCCGACGGUGCUGUGUGGAAGGGCCGUCGCUCAACGGAUAAAAGUUACUCUAAGAAUAACAGGCUGAUCUCCCCCAAGAGUUCACAUCGACGGGGAGGUUUGGCACCUCGAUGUCGGCUCAUCGCAACCUGGGGCGGAAGUACGUCCCAAGGGUUGGGCUGUUCGCCCAUUAAAGCGGUACAUGAGCUGGGUUCAGAACGUCGUGAGACAGUUCGGUCCAUAUCCGAUGCAGGCGUGAGAAUAUUGAGAGGAGCCUUCCUUAGUACGAGAGGACCGGGAAGGACGCACCGCUGGUGUACCUGUUAUGAUGCCAAUUGUAAACGCAGGGUAGCCAAGUGCGGAGAGGAUAACCGCUGAAAGCAUCUAAGUGGGAAGCCCACCUCAAGAUGAGUAUUCUGGUGUAAGGUCACGGGAAGACGACCCGUAAAUAGGCACGAGGUGGAAGUGCAGAGAUGUAUGAAGCCGAAGUGUACUAAUAGACCGUCGGCUUGACCA